CCCCUGCCGCUCACACGCCCAUUGCUAGGGGCAAGAACAACUCCGGCGCAGAGCCCAGCAGGAGGAGCGCCAGUUCAGGUCGAGUAGAGAUUUGCAUAUAACAAUAGAAUUACACUAUUUACAAAGGAAAUGUGUCUCCACUCCCAUCCAGCACUUGCUCUGAGGACAGAGGAAUGAUUCGAAAAACUACAAAUCUUUAAAUAGUUCGCAUUAUAAACAUUUUUAAAUGGCCCUCUUUUGUGUUAGGUUUGGAGCAUAUUCUUUUUUGACCCAGAUCCCACUACCAAAGAAAUGGCAGCUUUGAGAAAUGAAUGUUGAUUCACUCCUAGAAUUUAACAAAAUCUAAGAUGAACAGGCCUUUAAAUUUUAGGGUUAGGUUUUAUUAAUAAAUCAUGACCAUUUAUAUGGUGCACUGCUAGGAGUAUUUUAAUUGAAAAAUAUUAUUUUACAAAUAUGUAUUUAAGUAGACAUUCCACAAUCUCAGGCCUCUGCUUUGCAAACACAGGAACUACCAUUUGGGUCAGAAUGGAAGUCCAUCUAAUCUAAUCCAGUAUCUUGUCUCAGAAUGGCCCAUACUAGAUGCUUCAGCAGAAGGUGUAAGAAACUUGUCAUAGGCAGAUCUGGGACAUGAUAGGCUUCAUCCUGAACUUUAAUAGUUAGAGAUUGGCUUAAAGUCAGAGGCAUUAGGUUUACUAUCCCUUACAAGAGUUAUCAAUAAUAAUCAUUCUUGAUAAUCUUGAUCCUUUUUUUUUGGCAUCAUGGUUUUUAGGCACCAUGAGUUUCACAAUUCAAAUUACAUGUUGUGUGAACAAGUAUUUCUUUUUAUCAGUUUUUAAUUUCCUACCUUUUAAUGGAAUAGCUCUUUGUUCGAGUAACAACAGGGAGAAUAGUAAUUCCUAAUCUACCUUCUCUAUACCAUUGUACUUUUAUCAUGUCCCCUCCUAUUUAUCUGCUUUCUAAAGUAAAAAUCCCUAUUGUAUGGAAAAACUUCAAUGUAGAGCAGCAUUUUACACAAACCAAUGCCAAAAUUAAAACACUAUAUCCCAACAGAUCAUUUUAUAUCAAAAAGAAAGACUGCCCUCUUGGCCCAGCAGUCUUUUUUUAGUAAAAAAUAAACAGGAAUUGAAAUCUGUGGUGAUGGUGUCAUAAGAAAUACUUCUAGUUCAUCAGAAAAAGCGUUUUUCAGAGGGCAAGAAAUUAGUGAAGGAGAAUCUGUAAAUUUCUGCUGCACAUAGUGGUGACCCAAAAACCCAGAAAGUAGUUGAUGGGAGUGCCCUUUCACAUAACACAGUGAUGAUAAGACGUCCCAUGAUGUGUUAGCACAGAUUAAACUUUUCAACAGCUGCAUGGAAAUAUUUUUCACUUGCAGUUUAUGACAGUGGUGAUGCUACUAUUACUGCAUAGUUGAGUGUUUUUGUUAAGUGUGUGAAUGAAAAUUUUGAUAUAAUUGAGGAACUGUUGGUCUCUGCCCACUUUGUUCUACAACCAGUGUCUCAGACUUGUUUGAAGAACCAAGAACAUGUAUUGCAAGAGUAUGCAGUGUUGUUGUAGCAGUGCUGGUCCCAGUAUAUUAGAGAGACAAGUUUCUAGCCCUCAUGGUUAAGGUGAAAAGCCUGAGAACAUGAGCAGAGUACUCCCCGAAGGCUCAAAAACUAGAUGGCAAAAAAGAACUUCUACAUUUUUUUUUUAAAUCUCAUGAUUUGUUAAUGCUUGGGGCUGGCCAUACUGGUGAGGAGACUGUCACUACUGACUAUUUUACCAAAAAUCAUCUGCUACUGUCCUUAUCCAUUGUUAGAUGCAGAAACCAUUGGACAAGGAGUUCUAUGGUAGUUGGUUGGUGUAAAAGUUUGCUGCAGUAGAAAAUUAUAUGAUGGAAUUCAUAACUCUCCCAGCCUUCUCCCCAAAUUAAAAAAAUCAAGUCACCCCUAC